rfam:Schistosoma mansoni strain Puerto Rico chromosome 6, complete genome
GGACUGCUGAGGAGUCCCAUAAUAGGACGAAACGGCUGCCCAGUGC